CGAGACAGUAGCUGACUUUUCUAUUCUGUUUUUUUUUUAUGUUUUAUCAUAGCCAUGCAUUAUUCAUCCUAUCCUAUUUAUUGUUGUGAUAUUUCUCGGUGUAAUCUUCGAUUGCACCCUGAUUUGGUGUUCUGACAUGUUUCUUUUUUUGAGUUUCGUAAAGGUUCACAUAUCCCAGGAAAAGGUUAUUGGCUAGGUAUUCC
rnacentral:lncRNA from 1 species